CUCCCUCUUCACCCGCCUGUCCUUCAGUGUCUGCAGGCUCUGUGCCCAGCUCAUCCUCCACACCAUUAUCCUCACACGAAGCUUCGCUAGACUCCUCUUCAUACUCCUCAUCGUCCUCCUCUUCCUCAUCUUCUUCUUUGUCAUCGUACUCAUGAUUUUCCUCGGCCUCGAUCUCUUCUUCACUCUUCCCCUUCAAUAGGGCAUGGAUGCGCACAGCCUCUUUCCAUGGCACACCUCCCAAGUCUGAAGGGGGUUGCUGAGGCAGCAGCAGUUCAUCAUCUUCAUCUUCAUCUUCCUCCUCCAUCUCAGACUCUGAACUGCUGCUGGGCACAUCCUCCUCUGCUCCUUUGUCCAGCACACUGCUGAGGUUAUGCUCUGCU
rnacentral:lncRNA from 1 species